UUAUUGAGUCUUUUAGGUUACAGUUGCUGUCUUAGUCUAAAAAUAACAAUUCUUUACUACUUUACUUAAGUUAAACUGGCGGCUAUAAUGUAUUGCCUGCUCUUUCAGUUGCUUUGUAAUGAAAAUGAAUACAAUGUUUGCCUCAUGGCGGUCAGUAAAAUGUUUUUCUUUUUUUCUACUCUUGCUCAUGACAGAGAGUUUUGUUUACGUUAACUGUGUGACGUUUUGUCACCCUCUUAUAAACUAGGAUACAUAUAUACAAUAAAAAAACUACAGAUACCUUACAAACUAACCCUACGAUAGAAUGCCUUGAACAUUUGUUAGAGCGAGAGCUCAGUCAGAUUCUUGUGAAUACAUUUGAAUAUUAUUAACAUGGAGGAAAAAGGCAUUUAUCGGGGAACACAUUUAUACUUCGAUUGUUGUGUACGAGACGAGAUAAACAUAGAUACACAGAGGGUGUUACAAAAGAAAAAAAAAGAAACUUCAUUAAUGAAGAUAAUGAAUGACAGAUAACAUUGAUUAUUACAAUUAUUUGUUUUAUAAAAUAUUUUUACUUUUGAUUUGUUGUUCAUUUAAUUGUCUUUUACAUUGGUGAAUUUGUAAUUAUUUAUUUUAUAAUAAUACCUGUUAUAUAUUGUUUGAUAAAUACUUGAAUUGUAUUUUAUUUCAAUUAGAAGAUAACUAAAUGAUACUUAUUCUAGUAUUUUUAAGUAGAAAAGGGGUUCCCCCAACGUACACUGUAGUGAAUCGCGGGACGCAAGUGGCGAAUGGAUAAUUAUCCGCGAUUUUGAUUUGGGAUGGCCCUGUUAUAGAACUCUAAAGGUUCUAACACUGGAGCGUCAAGAUCCACUGAGAGUAUUCCGAGUGGUGACAGAUAACCAACGCCGUCCCAAGAGGACCCAGUCUGGGAUGCUAAGGAAUGUAUUAUUAAGUCGUUUUCGGAUUGUUCAAAGUUUGAAAUUGUUUUUUUCAUGAGAAGCGAGACGUAUCUCAUCAGCGGGACAGUAUUUGUGUCGCUGUAAAUAAAGUUAUUUGAGAAUCUUUUGGUCCGGGUCUCAAAGUUUUUACCAGCACAGA